GAUGAAGAACGUAGUGAAAUGCGAUAAGUAAUGUGAAUUGCAGAAUUCAGUGAAUCAUCGAAUCUUUGAACGCACAUUGCGCCCGCCAGUAUUCUGGCGGGCAUGCCUGUUCGAGCGUCAUUUCAACCCUCAAGACCCCUUCGGGGGACUUGGUGUUGGGGACCGGCACAGGGGCCUGCCUGCUUGUCUUGCAGCGCCCUCGCCGCUCCCGAAAUGAAUUGGCGGCCUCGUCGCGGCCUCCCCUGCGUAGUAGCACAACCUCGCAACGGGAACGUGACGGCGGCCACUGCCGUAAAACAACCCCAAUUUUAUUAGAGUUGACCUCGAAUCAGGUAGGAAUACCCGCUGAACUUAAGCAUAUCAAUAAGCGGAGGA
rnacentral:misc_RNA from 1 species